rnacentral:rRNA from 1 species
UACGUAGGGUGCGAGCGUUAAUCGGAAUUACUGGGCGUAAAGCGUGCGCAGGCGGUGAUGUAAGACAGGUGUGAAAUCCCCGGGCUUAACUUGGGAAUUGCGCUUGUGACUGGCGUGCUGGAGUGUGGCAGAGGGAGGUGGAAUUCCACGUGUAGCAGUGAAAUGCGUAGAGAUGUGGAGGAACACCGAUGGCGAAGGCAGCCUCCUGGGCCAGCACUGACGCUCAUGCACGAAAGCGUGGGGAGCAAACAGG